AAGUAACCUAUAGAUAAAGCUGUGAUAGCAUCAGAAAAAUAGUUAUCUUAAAUUCAUAUUUGAAUGAAUGAUAAAUUCAAUGCCAUAGUUCUCAGGAGGGUUGUUUCUGUGUUUUCAAUAAAUUCUAUUGAAGGAUGAUGUAGGUCCCUCUAGCUUCCCUCAUUAUGGCUGAUAUUCUGCUGGGAUGCAUGUGACUUUUCUCAUGACUCCAGUCUCACUUUAGGCACACCACAAACUCAGGAAAACAAUUUUUAAACUUAUUUAAGUUGUCCUCUAAAUCACUGAAUCAUAUGAUGGUUAGACCUUAAAGACCAUGUAGUUUCAACCCCCUGCCAUGGUGUGUACAAGCUUCUAGUGCAACUGUCAUAGGGAAAAAAAAAAAGCACAAUUGUUCUGGUUUUAUUUAAUAAAACCUGCAAAGUCCAGCACAGGUGAUUGAAUUCCCAGCCUUCUGCCAGUACAAAAAACUGUUCAUUUCCAUUUGGUUUUUCCUCAGGUACUCCUAUGGGGGAAAAAAAUUAUUCAUCUCUACUCCAAAAGUACUUGUGAACUUUUUUUUUGAAAGUUGGUGGGAAAUCCUCUUAGUCCUUUGGGUAACAGGACAGUGAGCUCUUUCACUUGGCAUCUGCAGCUUUGGAACACCUGAGUUGAAAAGCCUGUGCUUGGCAUCUGCCUAUAAACAAGACUGCUUCUAUUUCUUUCACAAGUCUAUGUGUUUGCAGAAGGACUUUUGUUUUUCUGUGUCUGUGUGACUGAAGGAGAAAAGGGCAACUGGAGUAAAAGUGUUCGCUGGGACUGGUUGAAGUGCACACAGGAGCUCCUUCUGUGGACCAUCAGGAGGUCAAAAUCAUGGAAUCACAGAAUGGUUUGGCUUGGAGGAGACCUUAAAGCUCACCCCAUCCCAUCCUCUGUUAUGGGCCAAAGGUAUCUUUCACUAUCCCAAGUUGCUCCAAGUGCCAUCCACCCUGGCCUUGGACACUUCCAGGGGUGGGGCAGCCACAGCUUCUCCAGACAAACUGAGGCCUCACCACCCUCACAGGGAAGGUUUUCUUCCUAACAGCCAAUCAAAGCCUACUCUCUGUCGGUGUGAGGCCAUUCCCCUUGUCCUGUCAUUCCAGGUCCUUGUCAGUAAUUUCUCUCCAUCUUUGUUCCAGGUUCCCUUUAGGUACUGGAAGGCCACAAUGAGGUCACCCUGCAGUUUCUCUUCUCCAGAAUGAAAAAACCAAAUUCUCUUAGCCUUUCCUCACAGCAAAGCUGCACCAUCCCUCUGGUCAUCUUGGUGCCUCCUCUGAACCCUCUCCAGCAGCUCCCUGUCCAUUCUGUGCUGGGACCCUAGGGCUUGAGGCAGCUCUGCAGGUGGGGUCUCACCUAAGGGUACCAACUGCCCCUGAGCAACAUAAACCACUCAGUAAGUGAUAGAGGUUGUAAAGCCUGACAUGAGGAACUCAGCUGCCAUAGUUUCACUGAAAACUGUGUUACAAAAGAGCUGCUUUUUGUUACACUUGCUCUAAACCUGCCUUGCGAGCUCCACAGCGCCAGGCAUCAUUCCUGCAGCUGACCCCACACACACACCUGGGUGAAAGCCCAAUAUUUCUGGGCUUUUAUAAAUCCAGAUGUCAGAGUUCCAUCUUAGAUUCCUCUUGAGCCAUGGAAAACUGUAUUCUUAAGAGAGUUAGCUCAGCACCCUGCAAAAAUGAGUUAUUGUGGUCUAAAUUAAUAAUAGGCAUCAGUUUUGGAUUUUCAAGUCUUCUGAAAUGACAUAAUCCUGGUCCCAUUUAAGCCACUGUUGGGAUUGAGGUGGGCUAGAGUUAGAUGUGAAAAAAAGUGCUUUCAGAAAUCCCAUCCUAAGUACAGAAGAGCUAGGGGUGUCAAUGUGAUGCGUUCUUGAAAAGAAAUAAAAAAACAAACCCAUUUGAAGUAUGGCUUCA
ensembl:lncRNA